CCUACGGGGAGCAGCAGUGAGGAAUAUUGGUCAAUGGACGAGAGUCUGAACCAGCCAAGUAGCGUGAAGGAUGACUGCCCUAUGGGUUGUAAACUUCUUUUAUAUGGGAAUAAAAUGUUCCACGUGUGGGAUUUUGUAUGUACCAUAUGAAUAAGGAUCGGCUAACUCCGUGCCAGCAGCCGCGGUAAUACGGAGGAUCCGAGCGUUAUCCGGGUUUAUUGGGUUUAAAGGGAGCGUAGGUGGAGUGUUAAGUCAGUUGUGAAAGUUUGCGGCUCAACCGUAAAAUUGCAGUUGAAACUGGCAGUCUUGAGUACAGUAGAGGUGGGCGGAAUUCGUGGUGUAGCGGUGAAAUGCUUAGAUAUCACGAAGAACUCCGAUUGCGAAGGCAGUUCACUGGACUGCAACUGACACUGAGGCUCGAAAGUGUGGGUAUCAAACAGGAUUAGAUACCCUUGUAGUC
rnacentral:rRNA from 1 species